rnacentral:rRNA from 1 species
AUUGAACGCUGGCGGCAUGCUUUACACAUGUAAGUCGAACGGUAACAGGCCUUCGGGCGCUGACGAGUGGCGAACGGGUGAGUAAUGCAUCGGAACGUGCCCAGUCGUGGGGGAUAACGCAGCGAAAGCUGUGCUAAUACCGCAUACGAUCUGCGGAUGAAAGCGGGGGACCUUCGGGCCUCGCGCGAUUGGAGCGGCCGAUGUCAGAUUAGGUAGUUGGUGGGGUAAAGGCUCACCAAGCCAACGAUCUGUAGCUGGUCUGAGAGGACGACCAGCCACACUGGGACUGAGACACGGCCCAGACUCCUACGGGAGGCAGCAGUGGGGAAUUUUGGACAAUGGGCGCAAGCCUGAUCCAGCAAUGCCGCGUGCAGGAAGAAGGCCUUCGGGUUGUAAACUGCUUUUGUACGGAGCGAAAAGGCUCCCUCUAAUACAGGGGGCUCAUGACGGUACCGUAAGAAUAAGCACCGGCUAACUACGUGCCAGCCGCCGCAGUAA